CUCGGGGGAAGGGGGUCUCUCAGCCCAGAUUACAAGAGGGUGCAGGCCAGGCCGAGGAACCCCACUGGUGCUUG
rnacentral:pre_miRNA from 1 species